rnacentral:rRNA from 1 species
UACGGAGGGGGCUAGCGUUGUUCGGAUUCACUGGGCGUAAAGGGUGCGUAGGCGGUCGGGUAAGUCUGAUGUGAAAUCUCACAGCUUAACUGUGAAACUGCAUUGGAUACUAUCCGGCUAGAGGAAUGGAGGGGAGACUGGAAUACUUGGUGUAGCAGUGAAAUGCGUAGAUAUCAAGUGGAACACCAGUGGCGAAGGCGAGUCUCUGGACAUUUCCUGACGCUGAGGCACGAAAGCCAGGGGAGCAAACGGG